GAGUCGUAACAAAGUUUUCAUAGGUGAACCUGCGGAAGGAUCAUUAUUGAACACACUUGAUUAUAUUUGCUGGCUCUCAGGAGCAUGUGUAUGUCCAAUUCAUUUUAAACCACCUGAGACCUUGUGUAGAUCUGAAUAAACUCUUGAAUAGGCUUGGUUUGAGGAUUGCCAUGUAAAAAUCAGCUGUUCUUGCAUUCAGAUCUAUGUUUUUCACAUACUCCACAUGAAUGUAUCAGAAUGUUGCUUAAUUGGCCUUUGCGCCUUAAAAAUAAAAUACAACUUUCAACAACGGAUCUCUUGGCUCUU
rnacentral:misc_RNA from 1 species